rnacentral:rRNA from 1 species
UACGGAGGGAGCUAGCGUUGUUCGGAAUUACUGGGCGUAAAGCGCGCGUAGGCGGCUUUGUAAGUUAGAGGUGAAAGCCCGGGGCUCAACCCCCGGAACUGCCUUUAAGACUGCAUCGCUUGAAUCCGGGAGAGGUGAGUGGAAUUCCGAGUGUAGAGGUGAAAUUCGUAGAUAUUCGGAAGAACACCAGUGGCGAAGGCGGCUCACUGGACCGGUAUUGACGCUGAGGUGCGAAAGCGUGGGUAGCGAACAGG